UGGGGCUCUCUGAUUUUACCAUGGCAACUUAAUGUUUACAACCAAUUCAUUUUUAAAACAAGAAACCUGGAAUAAAAUCUUUCAUACACUAGUAAGCCAUAUAAUUAUAAUUACUUUUAUAUCAAAAGAUUAAAAUAAAUUGUAUAAAUACAUUUGCUAAAACAUUUCCCCAAUCUUCUUUCCCUGCAUCUUUUCCCACUUCUGUGGGGUCGAUGUUUCCCGCUUAAAGUAACUAUAUCGUAAGUUCCCGUGAGUUUAUGACUUGCUGUUGGACAGGAAGGGAACACCCAGAGUAAAAUUUUUUGUGAGAUCAGCUACUUUUAUUUAUUUAUAUAAGAAAUAUUCAUUUUUCAUUAUUUUAAUGCUUUAACGUUCAUAAUUCUGUUGUAGUUGCUGCAGUUGUAUUUAGUAAAUAAUUCCAUGUCGUAACAUUCUUAAUAAUUAACAUAUUUGGAGUUAAAUUUUUCUAAAUAAAUGCUAGUUUAUAUUUUCUUGAUUACAUUUAAUUACAAUUUAUAUUUUGUUAAAGGUAAUAAGAAUGUAGUACAACAGUUUUUCUCUUAAAGAUUUGCUGGCAAGUGAAGUUAACCAUAUUUCAAGGUUAACUUAAAUAUUUCCGCAUUUUCUGAUACAACUUAUUUCAUCUACAUACACAUGAGUUUUAAAAUAACAGAACAUAGUCGACUUACAUCUUUUAGUGGCCGGAAUGACGAGGAUAUCUAAAUACAAAUAGUUAUGAUUGGUUGAGCAACACUUUUUCUCCAUUUAUAAGCGCUCUGUUUUCACUUAAUUCCCCAAAACAUAAAUAGAUCUUAGCACAUAAUUAAAAACAUUAAUUGUAAAUGAACGCAUUCACUAGGGCCAUCUGACAUUGGUAAUGUUUUUUUUUUUUUUUUUGGUCAUGACUGUGUUCACAGUCUAGGAUGGUUCGUGUCACGUGGCUUACUUUAAAUUAAAGUAGUUUGAACCUAAUGCCGUUUUCUCAAUGGACCUUUAAGAUCAACAUUCUGCAAUCUGUGAGCUGGUGAGGCAUGACUGGAGGAACCUCUAGACCCCGAAGCUGGCGUGAUGUUGACUCCAUAAGGCAUCUGUCUUGGUGAACUGUGCUGGGAGGUGUUCAGGGGUGACGAAUGAAGACUUUGUAUCCCUUUAUGCAUAGCAGAGGCAGGAGGAUAGGGGGCACUGGGUGUCAAGGGAGCCACUAAAUCCUGCAAAAAGCACAACUUUGGUGGUGGCCACCAGUGGUUACUAUGUUAUGAGUGAACAUGCUA